rnacentral:lncRNA from 1 species
UAAUCACGCCACAUCAGUCUACUAUAAAUUGCCGAAGCGAGUGAUGUAUAUAAAGGCAUCAGAGAUCUCGAUUUCGGUAUAAUACGAUUUAUUGUGAAUAUUUACUUUGUUUUCACUUCUAUUCCUAAAAAACCAACUAAAACCCAAAAUGGGCGCUGAAAAGGUAUCCAUGAACAUCGUUGUCGUCGGACAAGUCGAAUCUGCCAAGGUCAUCAAGACUGUCGCCAAAGCCGUACCAAAAAUGAGCUCAUUGAUGAACUUUUAACUCAUGUAAUCCAUCAAUCGCCAACUCAAAAAUGCCAUAGUUCAAACAAUGUAUUUAUAUGUAUAUAAUAUUUAUUAUAUCAUUGCCAAAUAUAUCAGUUCUUAUCGUUAUUUA